CAGCCGCCGCGGGAAUACGUAGGUGGCAAGCGUUGUCCGGAAUUAUUGGGCGUAAAGGGCUCGCAGGCGGUUUCUUAAGUCUGAUGUGAAAGCCCCCGGCUCAACCGGGGAGGGUCAUCGGAAACUGGGAAACUUGAGUGCAGAAGAGGAGAGUGGAAUUCCACGUGUAGCGGUGAAAUGCGUAGAGAUGUGGAGGAACACCAGUGGCGAAGGCGACUCUCUGGUCUGUAACUGACGCUGAGGAGCGAAAGCGUGGGGAGCGAACAGGAUUAGAUACCCCCGUAGUCCCUGUCUCUUAUAC
rnacentral:rRNA from 1 species